rnacentral:snRNA from 1 species
UUAACAGCCUGCCCACCC